rnacentral:rRNA from 1 species
AAGCGGAGGAAAAGAAACCAACAGGGAUUGCCUUAGUAACGGCGAGUGAAGCGGCAAAAGCUCAAAUUUGAAAUCUAGCACUUUCAGUGUUCGAGUUGUAAUUUGAAGAAGGUAACUUUCGAGUUGGCUCUUGUCUAUGUUCCUUGGAACAGGACGUCACAGAGGGUGAGAAUCCCGUGCGAUGAGAUGCCCAAUUCUUAGUAAAGUACUUUCGAAGAGUCGAGUUGUUUGGGAAUGCAGCUCUAAGUGGGUGGUAAAUUCCAUCUAAAGCUAAAUAUUGGCGAGAGACCGAUAGCGAACAAGUACAGUGAUGGAAAGAUGAAAAGAACUUUGAAAAGAGAGUGAAAAAGUACGUGAAAUUGUUGAAAGGGAAGGGCUUGAGAUCAGACUUGGUAUUUUGUGUGCCUUUCCUUUUUGGUUAGGUUUCUGCAGCUUACUGGGCCAGCAUCGGUUUGAGUGGUAGGAUAAUGACAUUGGAAUGUAGCUUGACUUCGGUGAAGUGUUAUAGACUUUGUUGAUACUAUCUAUUUAGACCGAGGACUGCGUCUUUGACUAGGAUGCUGGCGUAAUGAUCUUAAGCCGCCCGUCUUGAAA